CUCUGCUUCUAAACUUUACCUCCAGGGCCAGGCGAGUUCAGGCACGUUCCUGGUAGAAGGUGCUCUGAUGCUGCGGAAGACAGUUUCUUCAUGGAUUCCAACUGCUUGAUUUGUGGGAAUGACUCCACCAUGCCUGUUCUCCCCACCUUUGGAUCUCACCUUCAGCUCUGGGAAGAAAGCCCAUUAAGCAACCACGAGGCAGUAAAGAAGGCAGGAAGAGACAGGAAUGGUCAGAGUAUAUUGAAAAACCUUCCUCAGUCAGUCUCCCAAAUGUGCGGUGUAUGCUGGAAUCACCCGGGGUCAUCUGUACGGAUGCCACCUCGAGGACCACAGGAUCUCAGGUGGUGAUCAGGAAUCUGCAUUUCACCAGCCCCUGUCCCCGCCCCAUCCCCAGGUCACGCUUUUGGAAAUCUGUUCACAAUGUGUCCCUCCCCUUCUUUCUUCCUUUUAUUAACUAGAUGUUAAGAUGCUUGGAGUCACACUCAAGAGUGUGUGGAGUAAGUCUUCUCGUGAGACUUAGGCCCUUGUUUCUCAGCACCAAGUAAACAUUUCUAGCCUUUCUGUUUCUCACAGAACAAUCCAUUUCAAAGCCGUAUCUCCGAGGAGGCAAGGGUUUUCUCUAGACCGCACAGCAUCACUGUCUCUGGGCCCUGAGGCUGUUGGAGCGGUGGGUACAGAUGUGCCGAAGGUGCCAGCUCAUGCCCUGAGGCUGCUGCUGAGCUGCUCUGACUGGAAACCAGCACUGAGCCUCGUGUGCACAGAGAAAAUCACUGCGGAGUUCAAAGGACGAAAGACCCUUUGAACUUCAUCGAUACCCAUGGCAGUCGCUUGGAGAAUAAAACCAGUGCAUUUUUAUUUUUUAUUUAUUUUUAUUUUUCAAGAUGGAGUCUUGCACUGUUGCCCAGUCUGGAGUGCAGUGGCGCAAUCUCAGCUCACUGCAAGCUCCGCUCCCUGGGUUCACGCCAUUCUCCUGCCUCAGCCUCCUGAGUAACUGGGACUACAGGCCCCCACCACCACGCCCGGCUGAUUUUUUGUACUUUUAGUAGAGACGGGGUUUCAUCCUGUUAUCCAGGAUGGGCUUGAUCUCCUGACCUUAUGAUCCACCCACCUUGGCCUCCCAAAGUGCUGGGAUCACAGGCAUGAGCCACCGCGCCCGGCCAAACCAGUGCAUUAUUAACACAUGUUUCAAGCCAUUGAAUGCAGACCUGCAGUCUCAAAGCAGAUCCCAGAACACCUUAGCUUGUAUUUGUCCCUGAGGCCCGGCAGAUGCUAGCAGUCCUGCCCCACACUUUCACUCCUUCACCCUGUUUGACAGGCUAAACCCUAGGAUGACCAUAUAAUUAUUCAAACCACAUAAUGUUGAGAGUGAAAAGGAUGCAGUUGAAUUGAACAAAAAUAUAUACCAGACUGUCCUGGACACUCAAUCUAAUGCCCACUUUCUUAAGAGAAGAAACAUGAGAUUGUUGGUGUAAAUGAAGAUAAACCCUGUGGCUCUGGCCAGUUUGAUAAGAGGAGUGAGGAGAGAUGUAUAUUUCUGCCAUGUAAUUCUCAGCCCAGGGGAGGCUGAGGGACCAGCCUUUGCUCUACCGAACUUUGGGCAACCACUGGCUUGCCUGGUCUCGUCUCCUGCUCUGUAACAUGGACUGACCUUUCAGAUCAUUUCUGGGGCUCUGUACUAAUGAAGGAGUUGUGGGUUCCUGUUUCCUUUCUCCUUUUUCUCCCUCUUUUCCUCUAGCACCUAGGCCUCAUUUUCGCAUCAGCUUGUGAACGCAGCACUGUCGUCAUUAUUAUUAAUUUCAAAACUCCUGUUUUAACAUGCAAAGUGACCCAGUUACAAAAUCAAAACUGGUUUUAAUUGUGGGCAUGCCAUUACUAUGUGGCAUUCUAUUCUCAGCUGUUUACAUGCCGCUUUCCUCAAGCACAGUGUAUAAUAAGUCCCUUUCCACGACGCUGGGAGCUUACAGAUUCCUUUACUGCGAAGACCUGCAUAGUUGGAAGGUGCCAGAGAAGUGAAUUAUAGCAACUGAAUUGAGCUCUUCAAGUUCUGGCAACAGCCAGGAAGCUAAAAAGAAGCUUUCUCUUAAUGGUGGCAGGAGCCCAGAACGACCGACCUCAGCUUAGAGUGAUUAAGAGUAUUUCUGAAUUUCACCCUCCUCCUAUCUGAAACAGCAGCCAAGAUUGAAGGGCAGGGGCGAAAUGCUGCAAACUGCACCAGGAAAGGGGAGGAUUAGAGGAGACUGAACAGCUUCCCUAAACCCUUGCUGCUCUAUGCAGAGAUGAUGUCACCAGGAGCUCUACAAGACAAAGAGAUGCUUUAGGUAUGCAAUUUGCUAAUGUCUUGAUACAGCUGCUUAUUUAAAAUCAUCCUUGGGGCCAGGUAUG
ensembl:lincRNA